CAGGGUUAGAGGACAGACCGUUCAGAAGUCAGCGUGAUUGAAGGCAUUUUAAAAAUUAUGUCAGAUCUUUCUCUUCUGCACCGUGGCAAUGUUUCCGGAUGCUUCAUUUUUAUUAAAACGAGGGUAAGGGAACAAAUUUUAAUUCGAGGAUAAAAUUAGCAUUUUCCAAGCAGCCUUGUCAGCGGCAAGGACAUAUUUUGCCAGAAAAUGGACAUUUGGGGCGGGGCGGUGCGAGGUUGGGGGAGCCUGCGCUGAUGGACGAUUAGUUCCCUCGGUUCAUCUCCAGGCAAGGGAGUAAACAAAUUAAUCUCUGAGCAGAGAGCAGCCUGGAAGAUGAUGGAAGCCUGUAGGAUCCAGAAGUGUCUUUGCUAGGAAGCCAGGGGGUGUCACCAAGAGCUAAGAUGGCCUUACUGCUGCUCAGAGAGGUUAAGCACUUGUCUGAGGUCACACAGAGGUGGGUGCUCCGGCUGGGUUUUGUGGGCAAGGUGAACGUAGAGAAUGAGGCUACUUCUCCCAGGCGAGCUCUAGACAGAGAUGCAGCCUCUGCUUCCCCAUCUCUCUCACUUGACCUUUAGGCUCCCUGGAUAGCUCACCUCUCUGGCUCCAGCUUCUGCCCUCACAGCCCCUUCCCAAUCUCUGCUGCCAGGCUCACUUCCCCACUUUCACCACAGCUUGUUUCUGCUCCACCGCAGGCUUUAGUGACUCACUAUUGCCCCUAGGCUGAAGAUCAGACUCCCUCUGACAUUCAAGUCCCCCCAGGAUCUGACCACACCUCCUUUUCCUGUGUAAGCUCCUGCCACUCCUUGCAGCUGCAACCAGAUGUACCAAGGAAGGAUGAGAAGAAAGUGAGAAGAAGGGGAAUAAAAGAAGGUGAUGAAAAUGUUCUAAACCUGAUCGUGUUGGUUGCCAGCAACCCUGUGAAUAUAUUAAAAAUCAUUGAAUUGUACAUUUUACGUGAAUGAAUUGUGUGAUGUGGUAGACAGAAUAAUGUCCCCUUAAAGAUGUCUAUGUCCUGAACUUCAGAGCCUGUGAAUAUGUUAGCAUACCUGGCAAAGAAGAAUUAAGUUUGCAGAUGAAAUUAAUUCAGUUGCUAAUUAGCUGACUUUAAGACAGGAAGUUUAGCCUGGAUUACCCAGGUAAGCCCAAUGUAAUCACAAACGACCUUAAAAGUAGAAGAUGGAAUAUGAAGAGAGAACCAGAGAGGCAGCAUCUUGAGAAAGACUCAGCCCAGUGUUGCUGGCCUUGAAGAUGGAGGAAGGGAGCCACGAGCCGAGGAGGGCAGGUGGCCUCUAGAAGCUGGGAAGGGCAAGGAAAUCCAUUCUCCCCUAGGACCUUCAGAAAGAAACUCAGCCCUGCCAAUACCUCGAUCUUUGUCCAGUGAGAUUUGUGUCACGCUUCUGAUCCAUGGAACAAGAUAGUAAAUUUGUGUUACUUUAAGUCACUAAGUGUGUGGUAAUUUGUUGCAGCGUCAGUAGAAAACUAAUAUAUACGGUAUGUGAGUUAUAUGUAAAUAAAGCUGUUUAAAAAAAUGAUUGUUUUCUUAGGUGGCAUAAAUAGAAGUAUGACGUCUGGAAGGGUGGAGGUGAUAGUCUCUUUGCAAUCUAAGUGAGGCAGACUCCAUCUGGAGCUCAGCUCUGAAUGCCACACUGUAAGAGGAA
rnacentral:lncRNA from 1 species